CGAUAACGAGAUCCUGCGGGCGAUAGUUUCUUUGGUAGUGAUCCCAAACUGCAUCUCUAGAAACAGCAUUUAUAGUUGCUGGAGUUCCGCCAAUAGGUCUACCUAGUGGGUGAUCACCAAGAACUGCUUCAAAGAAUUCUUCAUGCGCAACAUCCUGCGGAUCAUCAUCAUUCAUGGCUAGUUCUUCAAGAAUUACUGUUCUUUCAUUCUCAAAUUCAACUGGGUCAAUCACAGAGGACGUGAGCAUGU
rnacentral:rRNA from 1 species